rnacentral:rRNA from 1 species
GACAGAGGGUGCAAACGUUGUUCGGAAUUACUGGGCGUAAAGCGAGUGUAGGCGGUCUGCAAAGUCGGGUGUGAAAGCCCUGGGCUCAACCCAGGAAGUGCACUCGAAACUGCCAGGCUAGAGUAUCGGAGAGGUUGGUGGAAUUCUCGGUGUAGAGGUGAAAUUCGUAGAUAUCGAGAGGAACACCGGUGGCGAAGGCGGCCAACUGGACGAAUACUGACGCUGAGACUCGAAAGCGUGGGGAGCAAACAGG